rnacentral:rRNA from 1 species
UGCAGUCGNNCGAGAAAGGGACCUUCGGGUCCUGAGUAAAGUGGCGAACGGGUGAGUAACGCGUAGGUAACCCAUCCUCGAGUGUGGAACAACCUGGCGAAAGCCGGGCUAAUACCGCAUGACAUCCCAGUCCCUUCGGUGGCAGGGAUCAAAGACGGCGAGCUUCGAGUGCUGUCGCUUGAGAACGGGCCUGCGUCCCAUUAGCUUGUUGGUGAGGUAACGGCUCACCAAGGCUUCGAUGGGUAGCCGAGCUGAGAGGCUGAUCGGCCACACUGGAACUGAGACACGGUCCAGACUCCUACGGGAGGCAGCAGUGGGGAAUUUUGCGCAAUGGGGGAAACCCUGACGCAGCGACGCCGCGUGGACGAUGAAGGCCUUCGGGUCGCAAAGUCCUGUCAGGAGGGACGAAACGUACGAGCGUUAAUACCGCUCGUGCCUGACGGUACCUCUGGAGGAAGCCCCGGCCAACUCCGUGCCAGCAGCCGCGGUAAUACGGGGGGGGCGAGCGUUAUUCGGAAUUAUUGGGCGUAAAGGGCGUGUAGGCGGCUUCGUGUGUCUUUUGUGAAAGCCCUCGGCUCAACCGAGGAAUUGCAGAGGAAACUGCGGAGCUCGAGUCCGGGAGAGGAGAGCGGAAUUCCCAGUGUAGCGGUGAAAUGCGUAGAUAUUGGGAGGAACACCAGUGGCGAAGGCGGCUCUCUGGACCGGUACUGACGCUGAGACGCGAAAGCCAGGGGAGCGAACGGGAUUAGAUACCCCGGUAGUCCUGGCUGUAAACGAUGAGCACUUGGUGUGGCGGGUAUCGACCCCNGCUGUGCCGAANCUAACGCAUUAAGUGCUCCGCCUGGGGAGUANNNCCGCAAGGCUGAAACUCAAAGGAAUUG